UAUCUCAAGACUGAUUUUUCUAAGGUUUUAUGGACUGAUGAAAUGAGAGUGAGUCUUGAUGGGCCAGAUGGAUGGGCCCGUGGCUGGAUUGGUAAAGGGCAGAGAGCUCCAGUCCGACUCAGACGCCAGCAAGGUGGAGGUGGAGUACUGGUUUGGGCUGGUAUCAUCAAAGAUGAGCUUGUGGGGCCUUUUCGGGUUGAGGAUGGAGUCAAGCUCAACUCCAAGUCCUACUGCCAGUUCCUGGAAGACACCUUCUUCAAGC
rnacentral:lncRNA from 1 species